GAUGAACGCUGGCGGCGUGCCUAAUACAUGCAAGUCGAGCGAACAGACAAGGAGCUUGCUCCUUUGACGUUAGCGGCGGACGGGUGAGUAACACGUGGGUAACCUACCUAUAAGACUGGGAUAACUUCGGGAAACCGGAGCUAAUACCGGAUAAUAUUUCGAACCGCAUGGUUCGAUAGUGAAAGAUGGUUUUGCUAUCACUUAUAGAUGGACCCGCGCCGUAUUAGCUAGUUGGUAAGGUAACGGCUUACCAAGGCGACGAUACGUAGCCGACCUGAGAGGGUAAUCGGCCACACUGGAACUGAGACACGGUCCAGACUCCUACGGGAGGCAGCAGUAGGGAAUCUUCCGCAAUGGGCGAAAGCCUGACGGAGCAACGCCGCGUGAGUGAUGAAGGUCUUCGGAUCGUAAAACUCUGUUAUUAGGGAAGAACAUACGUGUAAGUAACUAUGCACGUCUUGACGGUACCUAAUCAGAAAGCCACGGCUAACUACGUGCCAGCCGCCGCGGUAAAAC
rnacentral:rRNA from 1 species